rnacentral:misc_RNA from 1 species
CUUGACGAGGCAUGAAAAUGAUAGACAAGUCCAUCUUUGACUUCACAUUGUUGUCUAUGGGCUGGUAGUACGAUGGCCAUCCGGUUCCACUAUCAAAUUUGGUAGAAGAUUCAAAUAAAGGAGUAUCGCAGCAAAUGCAGUGAUAUGUUCCAGGGGUCUUACUGUUCCAGUACUCCCCAGUGAAUGCCCGUUCUGUACCCUUUUGCCGUGUAAUAUAAAAUUGUUCAUUUGUAAGCUUCUUCUUCCACUCCUCGUCGCUUAUAGAGCUAUAAUCCAUUUUACUGCCCCCUUGAACACUAUCGGAUUUGGAAGAAGAAGCUGAGGAGCCCAUUGCACGAAUUGAGACUGAAAUUUUGCUUUUGAAUCCUCCAAAAGUUGGCUUGCCGUUUAAUCCCAAUUGGGGUUUCGAUAAAAAGUUCAAUCCUGAGCUGAAAGAGGAGAUUUGUAUGGUUCGAGAAG